rnacentral:tRNA from 1 species
GGGUAGGUGCCCGAGUGGUUAAAGGGGGCGGACUGUAAAUCCGCUACUUCGGUUACGUUGGUUCGAAUCCAACCCUGCCCA